rnacentral:rRNA from 1 species
UCCGGUGGUAAUACUGGAGGGGCAACACCCGUUCCCAUCUCGAACACGGAAGUAAAGUCCUCCAAGGCCGAUGAUACUCUGCCCGCAAGGGUUUGGGAAAGUAGGUAGCCGCCGGAU